rnacentral:lncRNA from 1 species
UAUAGCCAGCAUCGCCAACCUCGCCAUCCUGACGCUUUGCAAAAAGACCUUUAUAGCCAGCAUCGCCAACCUCGCCAUCCUGACGCUUUGCGAAAAGACGGUUAUAGCCAGCAUCGCCAACAUCGCCAUCCUGACGCUUUGCGAAAAGACCGUUAUAGCCAGCAUCGCCAACCUCGCCAUCCUGACGCUUUGCGAAAAGACCGUUAUAGCCAGCAUCGCCAACCUCGCCAUCCUGACGCUUUGCGAAAAGACCGUUAUAGCCAGCAUCGCCAACCUCGCCAUCCUGACGCUUUGCGAAAAGACCGUUAUAGCCAGCAUCGCCAACCUCGCCAUCCUGACGCUUUGCGAAAAGACCGUUAUAGCCAGCAUCGCCAACCUCGCCAUCCUGACGCUUUGCGAAAAGACCGUUAUAGCCAGCAUCGCCAACCUCGCCAUCCUGACGCUUUGCGAAAAGACCGUUAUAGCCAGCAUCGCCAACCUCGCCAUCCUGACGCUUUGCAAAAAGACCGUUGUUGCCAGCAUCGCCAGUCUUGUCAUAGGAAAAAAUACACUGCCAACCAGCAUUGCCAGUCUUGUCAUAAGAAAAAAUACACUGCCAGCCAGCAUCGUUGCCAAAUAUCAUAUGAAAAUCGGGAGAAACACAACCCGCAUCUCCCUCUGGCUGUCUUCCGUAGAGGGGGGAGAGGGGAGGGUAACCAGCAUCAUGCUCAUCCUGACCAAAAAGUGGAGAGAGAGGAGGAUAGCCAGCAUCUCGUUUCUCCUGACCGAAGAGAGGGGAGAGGGGUGGAUAGCCGGCAUCGCUCUUCUCCUGACCGAAGAGUGGAGAGAGGGGAGGAUAGCCAGCAUCGCGCUCAUCCUGACCAAAGAGUGGAGAGAGAGGAGGAUAGCCAGCAUCUCGUUCCUCCUGGCCAAAGAGAGGAGAAAGGGGUGGAUAACCGGCAUCGCUCUUUUCCUGACCGAAGAGAGGGGAGAGGGGAGGAUAGCCGGCAUCGCCAUUAUCCUGACCGAAGAGUGGGGAGAGGGGAGGAUAGCCAGCAUCGCUUUUUUUCUGACCGAAGAGUGAAGAGAGGGGAAGAUAUCCGGUAUUGUCCUUCUCCUGACCGAAGAGUGGAGAGAGGGGAGGAUAGCCGGUAUCCCCUUUUUUCUGACCGAAAAGAGGAGAGAGAGGAGGAUAUCCGGCAUCUUUCUUCUCCCGACCAAGAAGAGGAGAGAUGGAAGGAUAUUCGACAUCUCUCUUUUUUCGGCCGAAAAGAGAAGAAAGGGGAGGAUAACUAGCGUCAUUCUUUUUCUGACCAAAAAGAGGAGAAAGAGGAGG